GACGAACCGAGCGAACGUUGUUCGGAAUCACUGGGCGUAAAGCGCACGUAGGCGGAUUGCUAAGUCAGGGGUGAAAUCCUGGAGCUCAACUCCAGAACUGCCUUUGAUACUGGCGAUCUCGAGUCCGGGAGAGGUGAGUGGAACUGCGAGUGUAGAGGUGAAAUUCGUAGAUAUUCGCAAGAACACCAGUGGCGAAGGCGGCUCACUGGCCCGGUACUGACGCUGAGGUGCGAAAGCGUGGGGAGCAAACAGG
rnacentral:rRNA from 1 species